rnacentral:rRNA from 1 species
CAGCCGCCGCGGUAAUACGUAGGGUGCAAGCGUUAAUCGGAAUUACUGGGCGUAAAGCGUGCGCAGGCGGUUAUAUAAGACAGAUGUGAAAUCCCCGGGCUCAACCUGGGAACUGCAUUUGUGACUGUAUAGCUAGAGUACGACAGAGGGGGAUGGAAUUCCGCGUGUAGCAGUGAAAUGCGUAGAUAUGCGGAGGAACACCGAUGGCGAAGGCAAUCCCCUGGGCCUGUACUGACGCUCAUGCACGAAAGCGUGGGGAGCAAACAGGAUUAGAUACCCCUGUAGUCCCUGUCUCUUAUAC